AAACUUACAAUCAUGGCGGAAGGCAAAGGGGAAGUGGGCACCUUCUUCACAAGGUGGCAGAAGCGAGAGAGAAGCAAAGGAGAAGCGCCACACUUUAAAACCGUCAGAUCUCGUGAGAACUCCUUCACUAUCACGAGAACAGCAUCAGGGAAACUGCCCCCGUGAUCCAAUCACCUCCCGCCAGGUGCCUCCCCUGACACAUGAGGAUUACAAUUCAAGAUGAGAUUUGGGUGGAUACACGGAGGCAAACCAUAUCAGUGGGUGAGGAUGAGGUGGGAACGGCAGCAAAGUGAAGCUCUCCCCCAUGCUGUGAGCAGGAGGCCUGCGGAUGAACAGAGGCUGCACAUCCGGCAUAUGUGUAGACAUGUGUACGCAUAUGUGUGUUGGAAGGGAGGACAGAAAGUCUCGAUAAAAU
rnacentral:lncRNA from 1 species